rnacentral:rRNA from 1 species
UACGAAGGGGGCUAGCGUUGCUCGGAAUCACUGGGCGUAAAGGGCGCGUAGGCGGCGUUUUAAGUCGGGGGUGAAAGCCUGUGGCUCAACCACAGAAUGGCCUCGAUACUGGGGACACUUGAGUAUGGUAGAGGUUGGUGGAACUGCGAGUGUAGAGGUGAAAUUCGUAGAUAUCGCAAGAACACCGGUGGCGAAGGCGGCCAACUGGACCAUUCUGACGCUGAGGCGCGAAAGCGUGGGGAGCAAACGG